rnacentral:tRNA from 1 species
GGUGACGUAGCCAAGCGGUAAGGCGAGGGUCUGCAAAACCCUUAUACGUGGGUUCGAUUCCCACCGUCACCU